rnacentral:lncRNA from 1 species
AAGAAGUCAGGCCGGUUUAAGCCAUAGUACGGUAAGAGCUAUGCUGCCUGUGAGCCCCGUCCAAGGACGUAAAAUGAAGUCAGGCCGAAAGCCACGGCUUGAGCAAACCGUGCUGCCUGUGGCUCCAUCGUGGGGAUGUAAAAACCCGGGAGGCUGCAACCCAUGGAAGCUGUACGCAUGGGGUAGCAGA